UACAGAGGGGGCAAGCGUUGUUCGGAAUUACUGGGCGUAAAGGGCGCGUAGGCGGCCUGUUAAGUCGAACGUGAAAUCCCCGGGCUCAACCCGGGAACUGCGUCCGAUACUGGCAGGCUUGAAUUCGGGAGAGGGAUGCGGAAUUCCAGGUGUAGCGGUGAAAUGCGUAGAUAUCCGGAGGAACACCAGUGGCGAAGGCGACUUUCUGGUCUGUAACUGACGCUGAGGCGCGAAAGCGUGGGGAGCAAACAGG
rnacentral:rRNA from 1 species